GCCCAGACUCCUACGGGAGGCAGCAGUGAGGAAUAUUGGUCAAUGGGCGGAAGCCUGAACCAGCCAAGUCGCGUGAGGGAAUAAGGCCCUACGGGUCGUAAACCUCUUUUGCCGGGGAGCAAGGGCGGGGACGUGUCCCGGCCCGGAGAGUACCCGGAGAAAAAGCAUCGGCUAACUCCGUGCCAGCAGCCGCGGUAAUACGGAGGAUGCGAGCGUUAUCCGGAUUUAUUGGGUUUAAAGGGUGCGUAGGCGGGCUUUUAAGUCAGCGGUAAAAAUUCGGGGCUCAACCCCGUCCGGCCGUUGAAACUGGGGGCCUUGAGUGCGCGAAGGGUAGGCGGAAUGCGUGGUGUAGCGGUGAAAUGCAUAGAUAUCACGCAGAACUCCGAUCGCGAAGGCAGCCUACCGGCGCGCAACUGACGCUCAUGCACGAAAGCGUGGGUAUCGAACAGGAUUAGAUACCCUAGUAA
rnacentral:rRNA from 1 species